ensembl:lncRNA
CCCUAAUUAUGCACAGAACAGCGUAACUGUAUGAUUAUAGGACAGGAUUACUCAGUGAUACUAUUAUUUGGGCCUUGUAGAAUAGAAGAAGGGAGAAAAUUGGAUUUAAACAGAGCAGGAUAAUUUUGAUCUUAUAAAGUGUAGAGCAUCAAAGCAGUUUGCUAGCUUGAAUUUUAAAAAUUAUUUCAUUGAUGUUAAUUAUGAAGUGUAAGAAUUUUUAAAUGGUAAAAAUGACUGAUUUGGUCAUUAAACUUUCUGAUUUUGGUCUUUACCAAAAAUAAAAAAACUCCACACUUGUUCCUGAGCCUAGUGUUCUGUGGAAUAACAAUUGUAAAUUAAGGCUUUAAAUUUAGAGGCUAAAUAAGGAAAUUCUGUUUUCGUUUGUUUGUUUGUUUUUGAGACAAAGUCUCGCUCUGAAAUCCAGGCUGCCACUGACUGUGGGGGCUCGAUCAUGGAUCACUGCAACCUUGACCUCCAAGGCUCAAGCCAUCCUCCUGCCUCAACCUCUGGGGUAGCUGGGGCUACAGGUGGAGAAAGAGAAGUUUGUCUCCCCGAAAGCCCCUGUGUGCUCAUCUUUAUCUCCCGCCUUCCCCCAUGUCUGCUGUCAAGGUGUUCUGCUGUUCUUUACUGUGGAUAUCUGUUGGCUGUUCUAUGGUGUUGCUGUUCUCACCCCGUCAGAUGCCUGGUGGCUUCUCUCUGUUUCCUCCUGCAAAGAUGUCAAUACCAUACAGAGGCAGAAUUUGUUCCAGAGUCCGGGCUGCUGAUUCCCCAAAUGGGGUUAAAUGUUGCAUUGCUCCCCAGCUGGAAACCUGCAGAGACAGAGAAUAAACGAGGUAUGGCCACUAUGAGCAUGUGACUUGCAGCUCUCUAACUUCAGGGAGCAUAACUGUGCAAGGGCUGGAGCUGCAGUGAUCUGAUGUGCACUGCCGCAUUUGCACCAGCCCAUGUUUCCCAGGGGUUGUGCCAAACCAAUGACUGGGUGUGGCUGAGAUGCUAAGGCAGACUCAUUUCUAGGAGACAGACUCUUCUGCCAGCUGACUUUAGCUUGAGGACUUCUCAAAAGGUCCACUGAGAUCGCCUUAGAUCACUAGGCCUUGGCUGUUUGGGAUGUUUCCACUUGACUUUUCCCUCCUAUUUCCUUUGCUUGGGUCCUCUUUCCUUGUGUCAAUCUGUCAAUCUGGUGGAUCUCCAGGCCUUCUUGGCUCCCCACCUAUUUUCUCCCACAAGUGUUUUCUCUAAUACAAUUCUUGUAUGUUUAAUACCAUGUUUGUAUCUACUUCUUAGAGGACCUGGACUAACACACAUGAUUUUGCAAUUUCAUAUUUUAAAAUGAUUUUACUCUUAGAAUUUAAUAAAAACAUAUCAUAUGGUUAAAAUGUUGUACCAGUAAGUAGUUUCUCCAAAGUAGAAGAGCUAAUAAGUAGGUGAGCUGGGCAUCAAAUACUAGCUUUUGAUCUAAUUCAAAAGCCCAUUCUCAGCUCACACAUGUGGUUUACACUUUGAAGGGCAGUACUAUCAGGUUGGCAUAGAGACUCCAUAUUAACCAGGAGAAGUAUUUAAGGUGUGAAUGAGAAGUUGGGACUGGAAUCUGGGCAAUUUGAGUGCUUGGCUAGAGCAUUUAAGGAGCUGUGAAUUCUGGCUGAGCAGUGGCCUAUCAUUCUACUUAAAGCAAGGGUCUAAGUUUGUUGGUGGCAAGGGAAUUUAGCAUUUCAAAAGGUAGUUUGGAAAUAUCUGUAUGCAAUGAAUGGCUUCUGACCCUGCAUUUGCGUUUCUAGAAAUUUAUGUGAAGAAAAUAAUUAAGAAUAUACUCAGCUAUGGUACUAUAAUAAUGUUCAACAAACUGCUGUUUGAAAUAAUGCAAAGUUGGAAACAAUGUAAAUGUCUAACAGUAGAAGAUUUGGUUAAAUAAGCGAUGAUCUAUACAAGUGUAUAAAAACAUUUGAAAUGAUAUUACACAAAUGUAACUGCUGAUGUGAAAAGUGUUUACAAUGUGCUUUUAAAUGAUGUGUUUAUUUAGAGACAAGGGUCUCCCUGCAUGGCCCGGUCUGAAGUGCAGAGGUGCAAUCAUAGCUCUUUGCAAGUCUUGGCUUCCCAGUGUCAGGUGAGCGUCCCCCUUAGCCUCCCAAGUAGCUGGGACUACAGGCGUGUGCCACUGUGCCCUGCUAAUUUUUUGUAGUAUUUUGUAGAGAUGGGGUUUCUUCAUGCUGCCCAAGCUGAUCUAGAACUUUUGGGCUCAAGAGGUCCGCCCACCUUGGCCUCCCAAAUUGUUGGGAUUAUAGGCGUGGACCACCAUGCCUGGCCACCAUAUACUUUUUUUCUUUCAAAAGCAUUGUUGAAUUAAAAAAAAAUUUUUUUAUUUUAAAAUAAACUUAUAGAAAAAUUGUAGAAACAGUAAAGAUUUCUUUUCCUUAACCAUUUUAAAGUAAGUUGCCAACAUGAUGUCCCAAUGACCCUGAAUACUUGCGUACUAUGGUUAGGCAUAGGUCAUUCUGCUACCUAAUCAACAUACAACUAUAAACAUCAAGAAAUUAACAUUGAUAUUUGUAUUAGGGUUCUCCAGGCUGGAAGAGGCAAGGAAGGAUUCUCCCCUAGAGCCUCCAGGGGGAGCUCAGCCCUGCUGACACAUUGAUUUUGGACUUCUGGACUUUAGAACUGUAGAGAAAACAUUUCUGUUGUUUUAAACCAUGAAGCUUGUGAUAAUUUGCUACAGUAGCCUCAAUAAACAAACACAAUGUCCUUUCCUUGCUCUAGCUCUAGUAUUAGCUAUUUCUCAAGGACCCCUGGUUCCUUGGUAUAGAAUGUAUAUCCAUGAAUUCACACUGAUCUCUCUAGUUUCUACCUACAACCACAAUUUUCACACCCGUCUUCUUUUUUUCCAUAUUAAUACCUUCCUUCUCUAACAGUGAGAAACCACCUGGUUCUCAAUAUAUUAUUAGUUGAAUACCCCAUAUGUAUGUAAAUUAGUUCCCAUUGUUGCUGGUGGAGGGUGUUCAGGUUCUUGGCGUCUUGAACACAGAAUUGGACAAAACGCACAAACAAAGCAGUGAAAAAAUGAAGCAACAAAAGCAGAGAUUUAUUGAAAGCAAAACUACACUCUGCAGAGUAAAAGUGGGCUGAGCAAGAGGCUCAAGAGCCAGGUUACAGAAUUUUCUGGGGUUUAAAUACCCUCGAGAUUUUCCAUUGGUUACUUGGUAUACACCCUAUGUAAAGGAAGUAGUGGCCCUUGUUCAGUCUGAUUGGUUGUGGGAAGGGACCAAUCAGAGGCUGAAAUGAAGUCACAAAGUUACACGCUAUGCAAAUGUCCCAUUGGUUGUGCAAAGUGACCGAUCAGAGGCUGAAGUAAAGUUACAAAGUUAUACUUCCAGGCAAAUGAAGCCUUGGCCGGUGACCAGCCUGAUUGGUUGCAGGAGGGGACAAAUCAGAGGUACUUUGAAUUUUUCAUCUGCCACAGAGAAAAGGGGUGGUUUGCAAAGGGAGUAGCCUCCAGUCCUUUUGUUACUUGGGCAUGAAAAGUUAGGGUUUUCCUUUUGAUUUAGUUCUAGGAAGUCAGUGUGAAUCAGCCAUAGGUUCCCUGCCUCCAGACCCUGUUCUCCUGCCUCACCAUCACCACCAGUGCCCACCCCCUCACAAAUGCUCUUCUCAUCCUGCUUACUCUCUAAAUUCCUGUUUGGGAGCCACCACGCAGCAGGCUGCCCCUCAAGCUGGUGUCCUCCUCACUCAGUUGGAUUCUUUUUUAAAAUUUUUCUAAUUUUUUAGUUUUUUUUGUUUGUUUGUUUGUUUGUUUGUUUUUGUUUUUUUUGUUUUUAUUUUGAGGCAGGGUCUCACCCUGUUGCCCAGGCUGUAGGGCAGUGGCAUGAUCUCAGAUCUCAGCUCACUGCAACCCCUGCCUUCCAGGUUCAGGCGAUCCUCCUACUUCAGCCUCCCAAGUGGUUGGGACUACAGGUGUAUGCCACCAUGCCUGGAUAAUUUUUUUAAUUUUUAAUUUUUUGUAGAGACAGGGGUCUCACUAUAUUGCCCAGGCUGAUCUCAAACUCCUGGGCUAAAGGGAUUCUCCCACUUCUGCCUCCUAGGGUGCUGGAAUUCAGACAUGAACCACCGUGCCUGGCCCCACUUGAAUUCUGACACUUCGCACGAGGUUGCGGAUGUCACUCUUCACUCCUCCCCUACUCCUCCCCCACUGCUGCCUCUGAUGUACCCCACACUGGGCCACCACAGCCUGCCCUCCCUACCCUCCCCUCACACUCAGCCACAGGGUCCCUCCCUCACUUGGCUCCACUCAAUAAUUUAAUGAUCUUGGACUCAAUUUUUCAGGAAGAAAAAGAAGAAGGAAAGAGGAAAAUAAUGCAGAAAGGAAGACAUCAUCUAUAUUUUUAAGUGAAAAAAAAGUCAAUAUAUUUGGGGGAAAAUCUGUAGGA